ACGGGUGAGUAACACGUGAGCAACCUGCCCUUGGCUUUGGGAUAACCCUCGGAAACGGGGGCUAACACCGGAUAUGACAUCUGAUCGCAUGGUUGGGUGUGGAAAGUUUUUCGGCCAGGGAUGGGCUCGCGGCCUAUCAGCUUGUUGGUGGGGUGAUGGCCUACCAAGGCGACGACGGGUAGCCGGCCUGAGAGGGCGACCGGCCACACUGGGACUGAGACACGGCCCAGACUCCUACGGGAGGCAGCAGUGGGGAAUAUUGCACAAUGGGCGAAAGCCUGAUGCAGCGACGCCGCGUGAGGGAUGACGGCCUUCGGGUUGUAAACCUCUUUCAGCAGGGACGAAGCGAAAGUGACGGUACCUGCAGAAGAAGCGCCGGCCAACUACGUGCCAGCAGCCGCGGUAAGACGUAGGGCGCGAGCGUUGUCCGGAUUUAUUGGGCGUAAAGAGCUCGUAGGCGGCUUGUCGCGUCGACUGUGAAAACCCGCGGCUCAACCGUGUGGUCUGCAGUCGAUACGGGCAGGCUAGAGUUCGGUAGGGGAGACUGGAAUUCCUGGUGUAGCGGUGAAAUGCGCAGA
rnacentral:rRNA from 1 species